rnacentral:lncRNA from 1 species
UCAAGGAGUUAAUCCCAUAGUCCAAAUCAAGGCAUUAAUCAAAGUGUUCAAGGCCAAAGUUCUUCUUGGAAAGAAAAAUCUUUUAUGAGGAGAAAUCAAUUCGAGAUCAAUUUUGGUGGAUAUCCAUAGAAGUCGGACGCAUAUGCAGCUCGAGCAUCUGCAAAUUUGUGAUCAUCAAAAGCAGUGAACAACUAUCCACACCAUGGUAAAGAGAUCUGAUCUCAUAUUUAUAUCUAAAUUUUAAAUUAUAUAUAUAUUUUUUCUCCUGGGUUUGGUAGGAUU